GACUAACGCUGGCGGCGUGUCUUAGACAUGCAAGUCGAACGGGUCGCUAUUUUGUAGCAAUACAGAAUAGCGCUAGUGGCGAACGGGUGAGUAAUACAAAAGCAACUUUCCUCAGAGUGGAGAAUAACCCCGAGAAAUCGGUGCUAAUUCCCCAUAUUAUCCCGACACAGAAGUGUCAGGAUGAAAGGCUUCGGUCGCUCUGAGAUAGGCUUUUGCCCUAUCAGCUUGUUGGUGAGAUAACAGCUCACCAAGGCAAUGACGGGUAGGGGGUGUGAGAGCAUGACCCCCCACAUGGGAACUGCGACACGGUCCCAACUCCUACGGGAGGCAGCAGUCUAGAAAUUUGGGCAAUGGGCGCAAGCCUGACCCAGCGACGCCGCGUGAGGGAUGAAGUCCCUCGGGAUGUAAACCUCUGUUGAGGGGAACGAUAAUGACGGUACCCCUCGAGGAAGCCUCGGCUAACUCCGUG
rnacentral:rRNA from 1 species